rnacentral:ncRNA from 2 species
CCGUCCGAGGGGCGCUGCAGCAGGCUGAAAGACCGCCUGUCAGGCUCGGAUGGGGCGUUACCCAAACGCAUCAACGGCGCCCAUUCGCA